UUUUUUUUUUUUUUUUUUUUUUAAAACAUUAAUAGUAACUAGUUUUUUUAAUAUUAGUAACAACAAAAACAGACAGAAAGAGAUGUAGUGC
rnacentral:ribozyme from 14 species